GCUGCAGAGAAGCUUGCUUCUCUGAUGUUAGCGGCGGACGGGUGAGUAACACGUGGGUAACCUACCUAUAAGACUGGGAUAACUCCGGGAAACCGGGGCUAAUACCUGAUAAUAUUUUGAACCGCAUGGUUCGAUAGUGAAAGGCGGCUUCGGCUGUCACUUAUAGAUGGACCCGCGCCGUAUUAGCUAGUUGGUAAGGUAAUGGCUUACCAAGGCGACGAUACGUAGCCGACCUGAGAGGGUGAUCGGCCACACUGGAACUGAGACACGGUCCAGACUCCUACGGGAGGCAGCAGUAGGGAAUCUUCC
rnacentral:rRNA from 2 species